AUUUUUCGCCCGCACCUUUACCGCGUGAGUUUUUCACGGGAAAUGUAAUUUUCCCGAAAUGAAAGUGUAACCUUAUGUCCUUCUUCGCGGUCUGGUGGAGAAGAUUUGGUAUUUGGCGGUAAACUUUAUCGGGCACGUGUUUAUGCACCUGGUUGGGUUGACACGUGAUGUUUAGACGAUAAGGAGCAUUCGAAAUGCAUUGCUUAGGCUAUAAGAGAGUUACAUCCGAGAGAUUAAAGGAUCAAUCACACGAGAUAAGGGCACCCAAGGCCAAGGCGAGCGGCCGCUGGCCAUAUGUUGGCCAUAUACAGACACUAAAAACCUCUCAAGAUUAAGGACAUUACGAAAGUAGGGAUUAUUUGAGAGCACCAAAUAAGGCAAU